rnacentral:rRNA from 1 species
UACAGAGGUCCCAAGCGUUGUUCGGAUUCACUGGGCGUAAAGGGUGCGUAGGUGGCCAGGUAAGUCUGAUGUGAAAUCUCCGAGCCUAACUCGGAAACUGCAUCGGAUACUAUCUGGCUAGAGGAAUGGAGGGGAGACUGGAAUACUUGGUGUAGCAGUGAAAUGCGUAGAUAUCAAGUGGAACACCAGUGGCGAAGGCGAGUCUCUGGACAUUUCCUGACGCUGAGGCACGAAAGCUAGGGGAGCAAACAGG